AAAGGGGUUUUGCAUAUCAAUAAGCGGAGGAAAAGAAACUAACAAGGAUUCCCCUAGUAACUGCGAGUGAAGCGGGAAAAGCUCAAAUUUAAAAUCUGGCGGCUUUGGUCGUCCGAGUUGUAUCCUAGAGAAGUGUUUUCCGCGUUGGACCGUGUAUAAGUCUCUUGGAACAGAGCGUCAUAGAGGGUGAGAAUCCCGUCUUUGACACGGACUACCAAUGCUUUGUGAUACACUCUCAAAGAGUCGAGUUGUUUGGGAAUGCAGCUCAAAAUGGGUGGUAAAUUCCAUCUAAAGCUAAAUAUUGGCGAGAGACCGAUAGCGAACAAGUACCGUGAGGGAAAGAUGAAAAGCACUUUGGAAAGAGAGUUAAACAGUACGUGAAAUUGCUGAAAGGGAAACGAUUGAAGUCAGUCGCGUUAGCUAGAACUCAACCAGGCUUGCUUGGCGUAUUUUCUAGUUAACGGGCCAGCAUCAGUUUUGACCGCAGGAAAAAGGCCAGGGAAAUGUGGCACCUUCGGGUGUGUUAUAGUCUUUGGUCAUAUACUGCGAUUGGGACUGAGGUUCGCAGCACGCGCAAGCUGUGCUUAGGAUGCUGGCGUAAGGGUUUUAACCGACCCGUCUUGAAACCACGGACCAAAGGGGCUC
rnacentral:rRNA from 1 species